rnacentral:rRNA from 1 species
GACGAACGCUGGCGGCGUGCCUAAUACAUGCAAGUAGAACGCACAGUUUAUACCGUAGCUUGCUACACCAUAGACUGUGAGUUGCGAACGGGUGAGUAACGCGUAGGUAACCUGCCUGGUAGCGGGGGAUAACUAUUGGAAACGAUAGCUAAUACCGCAUAAUAUUGAUUAUUGCAUGAUAAUUGAUUGAAAGAUGCUAUUGCAUCACUACCAGAUGGACCUGCGUUGUAUUAGCUAGUAGGUGAGGUAACGGCUCACCUAGGCGACGAUACAUAGCCGACCUGAGAGGGGGAUCGGCCACACUGGGACUGAGACACGGCCCAGACUCCUACGGGAGGCAGCAGUAGGGAAUCUUCGGCAAUGGACGAAAGUCUGACCGAGCAACGCCGCGGGAGUGAAGAAGGUUUUCGGAUCGUAAAGCUCUGUUGUAAGAGAAGAACGGGUGUGAGAGUGGAAAGUUCACACUGUGACGGUAUCUUACCAGAAAGGGACGGCUAACUACGUG